GUCUUCUUUCCUCCAAUGUAGGCCAUUUUAGCAAACUCAAUCUUUCUUCGUAAGACAUUUGGAGUUGUAAUUUCUUAAAGCGCAUUUAGAUGCCCGUCUUUGCACUUUUUCCAAUGCGGCAAUAUGCAGAAAUGUCUUUCUUUAGGCGAGGAGACCAAACUGGAACACAAUAUUCCAAAAUUGGACGUACUAAACUCAUAUACAAUUUGGGAAACAAUCGAUCGUUCUUUGGGCCAACUGUACGUUUCAAAAAUCCUAAGACCUGAUUUGCUUUAUUGACACAUUUACUAACGUGAAAACUCCAGUAUUGUUUAGAUGUAAUAUUUACGCCAAGGUCCUUAGUUAUAUACGUCCACCGUUUUCAACCUUUUAUCCAUCAACAUGUAACAAGGCGUUGAGCAAUCAGUCUUCUUCGUGAUGCGCAUUACCUCACACUUUGUUGGAUUGAAACUCAGCUGCCAAUCAGAACUCCAUGAUUCGAGUUUAUUUAAGUCUCUCUGUAAUAUAUCUGAGUGUUUCUCAAAAUUCAACACUCUAUAAAUCUUCAUAUCGUCAGUGAAUAACUUAACUGAUGAAGCCAGACCAUUCGAUACUCGAUUCGAUAUGUCGUUUAUAUAUACUAAGAACAUGAUAGGCCCUAAAACUCUUUCUCGUCCACCCCCUUUCGCAUCACAUUACGACCCAAUUUUUCUAAUAUAAAUAUCUCGGCGAGUAUUUACCUCCCUUUUAAAUAAAAGCCACCAUUGAAAUCCUCACAAAAUAACCUUUCGAAUGGGGGUCAAGUGCCGUCAAAACAUUACACAAACCGAAACAAUCAUAUAUUUAUUUUUUUUAUUUUAUAAGCUUUAUUGGACAUAGAAAUUCUAGAUUACAAGGUGAACGUCCAAUGGGGUUAGUGCAAACGGGAAAACGAGACCCAUGCAAGGCACAACCCCUAAAUAUAAGUAUGACUAGAUAACAAAAAGAAAAAGAGAGAAAAAAGAUCUAUUUACAGUGAAUAUAUACACAAUGCAGUUUAGGAACGAUGGCAGGAGCAGUCGCGUGUGAGUGACCAAGUGCAUGGCAUAUAUCCACAUUAAAAGUAUCCUUGACCAGGUUGGAGUAUGUCCCAUGCAGGAAGCGUUUAAAAAUACUUCGGCUUGCAAAUUUAUCUGUGGAGGCUAUUUUACAAACAAAGUUCUAAGGCUUAACUACUCCGUUGAAGAACGAAGCCUGAAAAGUUGAUGUUUUACAGUACGAAGGUUUCAAAACUAGGGAUGGAUUUUGAGAGCGAGAACGACUAUGUUGCACAAAAGAUACAAACUGUUCAAUGUUCAAGUCAAUACAACCGAAGAUAGAUUUAUAAACCAAAACAAGGUCUCUGAGUUCUCGAUCAUAAACUAGUGGUAGUUGGUUUAGGGUUGUCACAUUUACUCACCGCUUGGCCAAUGAUUCUAAAUUUAAUUCAUAUCCAGAAAGUCUUGAAUUAGUUGAAUAUCUCUUGAACUUUUCGUCAUUUGCUGAACGGCUAUAUGUGUAAAAUACUCUUUGUAUUCAAGGGCUUUCAUGUACAAAAUUACGCCG
rnacentral:lncRNA from 1 species